GUUCCCUGCCUGUUGGUUCCCCACUAUUGUCCCUCCCCACUUUACACUGCCUGCCCACAGCAACCAGGAGACUGAGUACGGAGACAGCACUGACCUUGUGGACACUGGGGAAGUUUCUCGUCCAUGUAAACAGUGGGGAUGUGGAGAAGCAAUGCUGGAGAACUUGGCAGUAGCCACACAGGGGCCUCAUGAAGCAAUAUGGGCAAUGGGGAACCAGCAUUAUGUUAGUGGAGACCAAUGGGGAAAAGCAAACUACCAGGAUUUAAUGGAAGGUUUAAUGGAAGGUUCACAGACACUCUUAAUAGGUGAAAGACUGAAGAGAAGUUUACAAUGAUAGACCAGCUAAUAACAUCUACAUUCAACAAUCAAUUUUAACAUCACAAAAAGAGAGACAACCAAAUAUGUGCUUCCUGACAUUAUAUAGUAAUUGAUUUCAUUAUACCAUCUAUUAAGUAUUCUUAACAAAGGAAAAGAAAAAUCCAACCUGAAUCUCAUUCAGCCUCUAAAUCUAACAAAUCAUUCACAGGUAAAGUGAAAGUGAGAGAAACAUAUUGAACAAUAUUAAGACUGAAACGUAAGCUAAAUCCAGAAGGCAGCAAAUGACCCCUUUCUUCAAAAAAUAAAUUAUAAGGGUGACUGGGUGGCUCAGUCAGUUAAGUGCCCAACUCUUUUGAUUUUGGCUCAGGUCAUGAUCUUGCAGUUCGUGGGCUUGAACCCUGCCAUCAGGCUGUGCGCUGACAGUACAAAGCCUGCUUUGGAUUCUCUAUCUCUCUCUCUCUGCCUCUCUCUCUCAAAAUACAUAAACUUUAAUAAAUAAAUAAAUUACAAUAGAAAAAAUAAUAGGAGGGAAGCUUUUCUUUAUUAAAAGAAACUUCAGAAUCAUACUAACCAAAUGCAACUUGAGGACCUUGUUUGGCCCUUCAUUAAAACAAACCAAUAUUAAAAAGAUAUUUAUGAUGGGUUUUAAAAACCUCAAACGAUAACCAGGUAUUAGAUGAUAUCUAGGAAUUACUGUUGUUUUAGAUGUGAUAAAGGCUUAGUGGUUAUGUUAAACAAAAAGAAAGAAAAAAAGAAUUCUCAUCUCUUAAAGAUGCAUGUCAAAUUAUUUACAGAUAAGAUAUGGUGUUUGGGAUUUGCUUUAAAAUAAUCUAGCAGCUGAGGGAGUGGGGGGGGUGGUUUUAGAUGGAAUUUAAAUGGCAGAAUAUUGAUGACUAAUAAAGCUAGGUGGUAGGCACGAGAAACAAGGGCUCCUGAUACUAUUCUCUUGACUUUUGUAUAUGUUUACUUUUUUCAUAAUAAAAUGUUUUUUAAAAAUAUGAUCCUCCAUAUUUAAAAAAUUUCAUCUGUAAAUGCAUAAUUGAAGGAAUGGCUAUUUCUACCUAAAGUCAUGAACAUUUUAAAAAAGAAUUAUAUAGACCUGAAUACCCACACUUAGCAAUUUAUAGAAACAGUAGACAGGAAAUAAUCAAUGAUAUAGAAGAAACAAACAAUAGGAUCUAACUGAAAUUUACAGAAUAUUCCAACUAACAACAGUGGAGUACACAUUCUUUUCAAACACCUACAGAAGAGUGACCAAGACAGACCAUAACCUAGACUGUGAAACAAACUUUAACAAAUAUAAAAGAAUUAAAAUAACACAUAGCAUCUCUGAUCAUAAUGGAAUCAAACCAAAAAUCGGUAACAAA